rnacentral:misc_RNA from 1 species
GACGGAGGGUGCAAGCGUUGUUCGGAAUCAUUGGGCGUAAAGCGCGUGCAGGUGGCUUUGCAAGUCUGGUGUGAAAGCCCGGGGCUCAACCCCGGAGGUGCAUUGGAAACUGUAAAGCUUGAGUCCGGGAGGGGCUAGUGGAAUUCCUGGUGUAGGGGUGAAAUCCGUAGAUAUCAGGAGGAACACCGGCGGCGAAGGCGACUAGCUGGACCGGAACUGACGCUCAGACGCGAAAGCGCGGGUAGCAAACAGG